rnacentral:misc_RNA from 1 species
UUGAAUUGCCUAAUGUUCCAGCUAUCACCAGCACCAUGGCGAUGCAGAUCAGGCCUAAGCGGCAGUCCAGCCAAUCCGGCGAGGACUCAAAUGACUUAGAAGACCGCUACGGCAGGCAGAACCAGGGCAGACCACAGUGGAACCAGUUCCAGAGACCGAACCGAUUCCCUGGACAAAACCAGUUCCCGGGGCAAAACCAGUUCCCUGGCCAAAACCAAUUCCCGGGGCAAAACCAAUUCCCUGGACAAAAUCAAUUCCCUGGACAAAAUCAAUUCCCAAGCCAGAAUCAGUUUCCAGGACAGGGACAAUUCCCUGGUCAGGGCCAGUUCCCAGGACAAGGGCAGUUCCCAGGACAAGGACAGCUCCCUAACCAAAACCAAACCAGAACCAACAGUCGACUGCAUCCCCUACCCCUAACAAUGGAAAUAGCAACACUGCGAGUCAGGACCGCUGCAUCAGCCAGUGCCCCGUGACGGCUGAGUACAACCCCGUGUGUGGCACCAACUUGGUACAAUACCCCAACCCUGGUCGCCUGGCGUGUGCCCAGUCGUGUGGCGUCAAUGUUUCCCUGCUGAGGUCAUCGCCAUGCCCGACGACAACUACCGCUGCACCUACAAGCUAGACAUAAUCUGGACUACUUUAAAUUAUAGACUGAAUAAAUUACAGCUUAGAUUUCUCUA